UCCCGCUUGUCACGGGCAGUUUCUCUAGAGUUCCCGGCAUUACCCGAUGGCAACUAGAAAUGAGGGUUGCGCUCGUUGCGGGACUUAACCCAACAUCUCACGACACGAGCUGACGACAGCCAUGCAACACCUGUGUUUCGCCCGGCCGAACCGAAGAGCUUCCAUUACAAAGCUCAUAGCGAACAUGUCAAGGGUUGGUAAGGUUUUUCGCGUAGCAUCGAAUUAAACCACAUGCUCCACCGCUUGUGCGGGUCCCCGUCAAUUCCUUUGAGUUUUAAUCUUGCGACCGUACUCCCCAGGCGGGGUGCUUAACGUGUUAACUGUGUCACUGGAAAAAUCCAACAACUAGCACCCAUCGUUUACGGCGUGGACUAC
rnacentral:misc_RNA from 1 species